CAGUCGCCGCGGUAAUACGUAGGGUGCAAGCGUUAAUCGGAAUUACUGGGCGUAAAGCGUGCGCAGGCGGUUAUAUAAGACAGAUGUGAAAUCCCCGGGCUCAACCUGGAAACUGCAUUUGUGACUGUAUAGCUAGAGUACGGCAGAGGGGGAUGGAAUUCCGCGUGUAGCAGUGAAAUGCGUAGAUAUGCGGAGGAACACCGAUGGCGAAGGCAAUCCCCUGGGCCUGUACUGACGCUCAUGCACGAAAGCGUGGGGAGCAAACAGGAUUAGAUACCCCCGUAGUCCCUGUCUCUUAUAC
rnacentral:rRNA from 1 species